rnacentral:rRNA from 1 species
AUGCCUGUCCCGCUCCCCACGUCAAGCUCCGGCUUUUUGAACAUAAACAGUUGUGUUAAAGCACAUCAGCCAAGCCGCGCCAUGGUCACCGCGUGCCCAGACAGGCCAGGACACGACCAUCUCCCCUUGAGCGCGUGUAACAAACUCACGAUCACCAGCAAUGCCGGUGCAACAACACAGCAGCAGCCUCGCCACGGAGCGAGGGCUCCGCGCCGCGCUAAGCCUCGACCAGCGAUCACCGGCGGCAAUGCCGCUGGAGCCGGCGCAGCAACACCGGCGCAGCGUCAGCAGCAGCCUGGCGACGGAGCUGGGCGUCUGCGCCGCGCUGAGCCGCCUCGACCCGAUCGGCGGCGGCAUGGCGCCGGUGCUCCCCACCACGCUGCUCGACGAGUACGAGCGGCUGACAAUCGAGGCCCAGCUCAGCCGGGCCGUCCUGCGCCGGAGCUACUCCGAGCCGAGCCCGUCCCGGGUCGUCGCGCUGGUGCGGGAGGAGACGGCCGCUCGUGGUGUCGAGAGCGUCGAGGAGGGGCCGCGGCGGGCGCCGUGCGAGCCGAGGCCGCGGAGGCCCUGGCUGCUGGAGGCGCUGAAGCGGGUCCUCUGCUGGCUGGGCGGCGCGUGGGGCGGACACGGCCGGAGCGAGGAACGGCAGGCGACGCCGAAGCCGCCCGCGCCGCCGGCGCCGGAGCCGCCACGGAUGCGCGGCCUGCUCGACUACCUUCGCUAGAUGAUGCGCGUUAA